rnacentral:tRNA from 1 species
GAGAAAGAAGCAUUUAGGUCAUGCUACUAGCUUGAAACUAGUAGAAGGUGGUUCAAUUCCCCCUUUUCUCG